rnacentral:rRNA from 1 species
UACGGGAGGCAGCAGUGGGGAAUAUUGCACAAUGGGCGCAAGCCUGAUGCAGCCAUGCCGCGUGUAUGAAGAAGGCCUUCGGGUUGUAAAGUACUUUCAGCGGGGAGGAAGGCGAUGCGGUUAAUAACCGCGUCGAUUGACGUUACCCGCAGAAGAAGCACCGGCUAACUCCGUGCCAGCAGCCGCGGUAAUACGGAGGGUGCAAGCGUUAAUCGGAAUUACUGGGCGUAAAGCGCACGCAGGCGGUCUGUUAAGUCAGAUGUGAAAUCCCCCGGGCUUAACCUGGGAACUGCAUUUUGAAACUGGCAGGCUUGAGUCUUGUAGAGGGGGUAGAAUUCCAGGUGUAGCGGUGAAAUGCGUAGAGAUCUGGAGGAAUACCGGUGGCGAAGGCGGCCCCUGGGACAAAGCUGACGCUCAGGUGCGAAAGCGUGGGGAGCAAACAGGAUUAGGAUACC